rnacentral:rRNA from 1 species
UAGUCCACGCCGUAAACGAUGAUUACUCGGUGUCGGCGACAUACAGUCGGUGCCUAAGCGAAAGUGAUAAGUAAUCCACCUGGGGAGUACGAUCGCAAGGUUGAAACUCAAAGGAAUUGACGGGGGCCCGCACAAGCGGUGGAGCAUGUGGUUUAAUUCGAUGAUACGCGAGGAACCUUACCUGGGCUUAAAUGCAGAAUGACUUUAUCGGAAACGAUAUUUCUCUUCGGAGCAGUCUGCAAGGUGCUGCAUGGCCGUCGUCAGCUCGUGCUGUGAGGUGUCGGGUUAAGUCCCAUAACGAGCGCAACCCCUAUUUCUAGUUGCCAGCGAGUAAUGUCGGGGACUCUAGAGAAACUGCCCGUGCAAACGGUGAGGAAGGUGGGGACGACGUCAGGGUCAUCACGGGCCCUUACGUCCAGGGGCUACACACGUGCUACAAUGGUAGGGGACAGAGGGGCA